GAUGAAGAACGCAGCGAAAUGCGAUAAGUAAUGUGAAUUGCAGAAUUCAGUGAAUCAUCGAAUCUUUGAACGCAUCUUGCGCUCCUUGGUAUUCCGAGGAGCAUGCCUGUUUGAGUGUCAUCAAGUUCUCAAACUGCAUCCAUUUGAAGGGUGUGGAUUUGGAUUAUGGAGUUUGCAGGCUCUUUGAUUGAGGUCUGCUCCUCUGAAAUGUAUUAGUGGCGAUGUGGAAAAGCUACUGUGGGUGUGAUAAAUAUCUAUGCCUUAUGCAGUGUUCUGCUAUGCCGCUUGCAGGGAGAAAUUUCAUUUUUGACAAACUUGACCUCAAAUCAGGUAGGACUACCCGCUGAACUUAAGCAUAUCAAUAAGCGGAGGA
rnacentral:misc_RNA from 1 species